GAUGAACGCUAGCGGCAGGCUUAAUACAUGCAAGUCGUGGGGCAGCAUGAUGUAGCAAUACAUUGAUGGCGACCGGCAAACGGGUGCGGAACACGUACACAACCUUCCUUUUAGUGGGGAAUAGCCCAGAGAAAUUUGGAUUAAUACCCCAUAAGAUAAUGAGAUGGCAUCAUCUUAUUAUUAAAGCUUCGGCGCUAGAAGAUGGGUGUGCGGCUGAUUAGGUAGUUGGCGGGGUAACGGCCCACCAAGCCUACGAUCAGUAGAUGAUGGGCGAGCCUGAUCAGCCAGACAGGAACUGAGAGACGGCCCCGACUCCUACGGGGGACAGCAGUAAGGAAGAUUGGAAAAUGGACGCAAGUCUUAUCCCGCCAUGCCGGGUGAAGGAAUAAAGUCCUCUGUAUUGUAAACUUCUUUUAUUUGGGACGAAAAAAGAUCAUUCUUGAUCACUUGACGGUACCAGAUGAAUAAGCACCGGCUAACUCCGUGCCAGCCACCGCCGUAAUAC
rnacentral:rRNA from 1 species